rnacentral:rRNA from 1 species
AUUGAACGCUGGCGGCAGGCCUAACACAUGCAAGUCGAGCGGAUGAAGGGAGCUUGCUCCUGGAUUCAGCGGCGGACGGGUGAGUAAUGCCUAGGAAUCUGCCUGGUAGUGGGGGAUAACGUCCGGAAACGGGCGCUAAUACCGCAUACGUCCUGAGGGAGAAAGUGGGGGAUCUUCGGACCUCACGCUAUCAGAUGAGCCUAGGUCGGAUUAGCUAGUUGGUGGGGUAAAGGCCUACAAGGGCGACGAUCCGUAACUGGUCUGCGAGGAUGAUCAGUAACACUGAAACUGAGACACGGUCCAGACUCCUACGGGAGGCAGCAGUGGGGAAUAUGGGACAAUGGGCGAAAGCCUGAUCCAGCCAUGCGGCGUGGGUGAAGAAGGUCUUCGGAUUGUAAAGCACUUUAAGUUGGGAGGAAGGGCAGUAUGUAAUACCUUGCUGUUUUGACGUUACCAACAGAAUAAGCACCGGCUAACUUCGUG